AUACGCUGUGAAAUACGGUAAUUGUAGAAAAGGAAGCAUCACAAGCAGACUCCUCCAACCUGCCUAAGGCCAUCUAUAAAAAUGGUCAUGAUAUAUUUUAAGAUUACCCUAAAGCCCACACCCAUCAAAUACAUACACUAAGAAUCCCCAACACCCAUUCAACCCCACCCCUCAAACUUCUGAGUAAAAUAAUCCCACCUUUAUUCACCUACCUACCUAGUGUUUGGGACUCACCAGGGCUUUGUAGGCUACAAUCACAGGAAAUCCACCAGCAGCAAUCCCACAAUUCCCUGUUUCUUACUUCUAGCUCUUCUAUAGCUCACUUCCUGUCUCUACUUUCUGUAAUUAGAGUCAAGCAGAGACAGAGAGAGAACCACCUGCAGACUCACUUGUAGACUGGCUCCCUUGACAGCUAAAAGCUACUACAGUAUGAACAGCUUUGAUACAAGCUACAAGUGCUUCCUUGCAGUUGGCUGUUGGGACAAUGUUUUAAAUGGUGAUGCUUGCUUUCUGUGGAUUGAAGGAUUUUAAAAGGUUCAUUAAGACUCAACAGACCUGGACACUUCUUCAGGAAGGUAGAAUACAGCAGAAAGGUGUCUGGAAGAAUUUCCCAACCCUACAUCUGCAUGUGGAGCUGAAUACAAGAGUCAUCAUGAGAGAGAUUAAUAGAUGUUAAAACAGAGUUUUGAUCUUUUACUUAAAGGUGAAGAAAAAAGAAAUGAAAUUACAUGGUAAAAGGCAGAGAGCACAAUGAAGGAAAAUAAAGAGAGAAAUGACUGAGGGAAGAGUAAAGGAAAAGAAAAGACAGAUACUGAAGAUGACAUCAAGAAAAAAUAAAGCCUACAAUAUGGAAAAAGAAUGAAUAGAAAAGCCAAACAACAAGCAAUGUAAUAAAGACAGAUGGUACAAAAAUAUUCAACUAAUUAGCUGUUUAACAAAUGUCACUCAUCUGUAGCUAUAUAAAUACUACCUGGUAAAUAUUUAAAAAUACCAGGGACACUAUUUGAGCACUACUAGAUAGCUAUUUCUUUUCCUCACUGCUCAAAACUGCCAUAAAUUAGACUUGAGUGUUCUUUUAACUUACUAAAAACAGAAGGACCUUAUCUUGUAAUUAAAAACAGUAAAUCAUGCUCCUAUUCUUUAAAAGUGCAGGUGUUGCAACUUUUGAGGAGUGGCACACAAGUAUUUUUGCCCUGUCUGGCAGACUUAUUCCUCAGGCUAGUAUAUAAGUCUUGGGUAUAUUUUUCAAGCAUUCUGUGUAUAUGUCUACACAAGGUUUACUGCACAGUAGACUAGUUAGCUGCACGGUAAACAUUGCACAUCUACACAUGCACCCCUUUGUACUAUCCUGCACAAAAUAUUUUACUCUGAAACAGCACACGUGUAGAUGCUACCCCAGCUGGCUGGGGCAAAAGGGUAUUUCAGUGAGGGGCUUGCCUGUUGGCUAGUCCCACACUGAAGCAACCUUACACACACUGAGCUGAGGGAAGCAGCCCCAGGCUGGCAGGCUAACCCCUGGGGCCCUCUGCCAGCCAGGGCUGCUCCAACCCAGCAAAACAUGCUGCAGUCCCAGGCACACUUGUAGAUGUCCCGCCUGGGUGCAAUAAACCCCCAGAGCAAUAUGCUCCAGAGUUGAUUCAUUCACAUCAAUAUACAUGUGUAGACACACCAUGUAUGUCUCCAACAACACACCUUUAUGUAAUGAAAAAAGCACUAUGUUAAGGCAGGGUGAAGGACAGUAUAGCAGUAGGGGACACACUGAACCCUUAGGUAUUAAAUUCCAAACUUUUUAAUGUUUGGUUUGGGUUAAUAGUUUGUUUUAUUAAUAAUGCUUAAUUUUUGUAGAGAAGGGAACAUUGAGUUAUUAACUAAAUUCCAUCUAUUAACUUCUGGCCUUAGCUCUUGCCAGCAAAUUGUCAAACUUUCUAACAAUUCCAUGCCUACCAUUUCACUGAGAACCAUUUCUGCACAACCUGGCAACUAGCAAACAGAACUUCCACAAAGCCAUAUUCUUCUGUUUUUAGCCUCCAAGUCAUACUGUUCUAUAGUUGCAUAUUAAUAUUUCAGUUCAACCAAACUGAGGAAGUUCUGAUGUUUCUCUUCCUUUUUUAAUAUUCAAAGGAAACUUGGCUACUGCAACAGACUCAUGUUUAUUUCCCCCACCCUUAAAGACAAAGUAAGAUAUUUCACCUUACCUAUAAUCAAACAAGACUUGCCAUUAUCUGAAGCUAGUUACUUGAUCUGGGCCACUGAUGAAAACCAGGGAGGGCAGCAGUCAAAUAAGUACGAAUUUUGAAUUACACUUUGAAU